UCAAAGUAAUAUAUGAUUUUACCAAAUACGAUUACUGCAAGAAUGACAACUGUAAAGAUUUAAAAAUUUGAGAAAACCAUAAGGUCAUGUUGACUUUAGGAAAGUCAAGCAUUUUUUGCGACAUUUGUUAACAAAAAGCUUGUGUUUCCUACAGUGACCUGGGAAACCAUAGUCGGGGGGAUGUGUGCCUCAAGACAAGAUGUCACUGAUUUUAUCAGUCAGUUGUUCAUGCAGCUGGGAUCUGUGGGGAUGUAUGAUUUACCACAUCUGAGGAACAAACUGGUUAUUAAGUAGAGCAUCUGUUGAGGGGCUUUUUAAAAACCACAGCCAAGAACAGACUUUGGGCCUAAAAAGCAGAGCAGCAUACAGCAGUGGACCUACCUCUAGCAGCUAGCAAGGCCUGUGCAGCUGCACCCAUUUUGGAGCCUUUCUUUGGAGUCUUUUUUUAAAAUACAGAGGAGUCCUGGUGACCUACCUCCAAGGCAGCUGCCUCCUGAACGUUUCCUUGGAAAGCACUAACCACCAUUAUGGAAUGUGAACAACCAGAAACUGCACAGGAAAAAGGAAAAACGUAUCUGGAAGAAAUGAAGUCUCAGGUGGCUUCACUAUGAAGCUUUUUAAUAAAAGAAUAAUAU